GACGAACGCUGGCGGCGUGCCUAACACAUGCAAGUCGAGCGGAGAUAGACUGAUGGUAACUGAAGUUUGUCUUAGCGGCGGACGGGUGAGUAACACGUGGGCAACCUGCCUUGGAGUGGGGGAUAACACCGGGAAAUCGGUGCUAAUACCGCAUAACAUACACAAACUGCAUGGUAAGUGUAUCAAAGGAGCAAUCCGCUUUAAGAUGGGCCCGCGGCUGAUUAGCUAGUUGGUAAGGUAACGGCUUACCAAGGCGACGAUCAGUAGCCGACCUGAGAGGGUGACCGGCCACACUGGAACUGAGACACGGUCCAGACUCCUACGGGAGGCAGCAGUGGGGAAUAUUGCGCAAUGGGGGAAACCCUGACGCAGCAACGCCGCGUGGAGGAAGAAGGUCUUCGGAUUGGUAAACUCCUGUCUUCUGGGACGAAGUAUGACGGUACCAGAGGAGGAAGCCACGGCUAACUACGUG
rnacentral:rRNA from 1 species